AUGAUUCAACAGUUCCUAUACAAAAGGUUUAUGACUUCUUCAAGGAACGGUGGGAGAGAGAUCCACCUGUGGGACUUCUGCAAUUACAUUGGUUUCAGCCUUUUUAAAAUCCAUGUCAUCGAUUUUAGCCUUUUUAAAAUCCAGUCAUCCAUUGCUCAUUCUACUAGCAGCAAGUGAAUAACAACUUUCAAAUUGUACCAGGAUGCUGUCAUUCCUGACAGAACAAAUUUGCAAUAAACCGUCAUCCCCAAAAACACUAGUCAGAAUUUAUUUGUGAUUAUACUGAUGAAAAUCCAAAGCCAGUUGAACUUUGUUAAAAUAUUAUCAGUUGAUUCAGAACUGAAUAUGCAGAAGGCAAUGGAGUUUGUAGGUUUGAAUAUACAUAUAAUUCCUUGAGUUUAUUUUGGUACAUCUGACAUACUAAUAAUCUUUGCCAGACUCGCUAAUGCAUGUCAAUGUCUGUCCAGUAACUCAUUAAAAAUUAUAAAAAAUAUUUUAAAAAAAAGUUGUGAAUUGUGAAUUUCAAUGAUAGUAUGAAAUGCUUCUCUCUCUUUCUCCCAGUAAAUAAUAAUAAUAAAAAAGUAUAAAUAAAUAAAAUUUGGUGAGUAGGUAAAGUCAACACAAAUCAAAGAUUUAAGAAAUAUGAAGUAAGGAGAAAUGUUCUUGUC
ensembl:lncRNA